rnacentral:rRNA from 1 species
CAAUAAGCGGAGGAAAAGAAACCAACAGGGAUUGCCUUAGUAACGGCGAGUGAAGCGGCAACAGCUCAAAUUUGAAAUCUGGCCCUCGGGUCCGAAUUGUAAUUUGUAGAGGAUGAUUUUGGUGCGGUAUCUUCCGAGUUCCUUGGAACAGGACGCCUUAGAGGGUGAGAGCCCCGUACGGUUGAAUGCCUAGCCUCUGUAAAUCUCCUUCGACGAGUCGAGUAGUUUGGGAAUGCUGCUCUAAAUGGGAGGUAAAUUUCUUCUAAAGCUAAAUAUUGGCCAGAGACCGAUAGCGCACAAGUAGAGUGAUCGAAAGAUGAAAAGCACUUUGAAAAGAGGGUUAAAUAGCACGUGAAAUUGUUGAAAGGGAAGGAUUUGUGACCAGACUUUUUCUGGGCGGAUCAUCCGGGGUUCUCUCCGGUGCACUUUGCCCAGUAAAGGCCAGCAUCGAUUUUCGGCGGCGGAUAAAAGCAGUGGGAAUGUGGCUCCCUACGGGGAGUGUUAUAGCCCAUUGUAUAAUACGCUGCUGGGGAUCGAGGUACGCGCUUCUGCAAGGAUGCUGGCGUAAUGGUUAUCAAUCACCCGUCUUGAAACACGGACCAAGGAGUCGAACAUUUAUGCGAGUGUUUGGGUGUUAAACCCUCACGCGUAAUGAAAGUGAACGGAGGUGAGAGCCCGUACGGGUGCAUCAUCGACCGAUCCUGAAGUUUUCGGAUGGAUUUGAGUAAGAGCAUAACUGUUCGGACCCGAAAGAUGGUGAACUAUGCGUGGAUAGGGUGAAGCCAGAGGAAACUCUGGUGGAGGCUCGCAGCGGUUCUGACGUGCAAAUCGAUCGUCAAAUCUGCGCAUGGGGGCGAAAGACUAAUCGAACCAUCUAGUAGCUGGUUACCGC